rnacentral:rRNA from 1 species
UACAGAGGGGGCAAGCGUUAUUCGGAAUUAUUGGGCGUAAAGGGCGCGUAGGCGGCCUGGCAAGUGGAAGGUGAAAUCCCUCGGCUUAACCGAGGAACUGCCUCCCAAACUGCUUUGCUUGAGGCCGGGAGAGGCGAGUGGAAUUCCCAGUGUAGCGGUGAAAUGCGUAGAUAUUGGGAGGAACACCAGUGGCGAAGGCGGCUCGCUGGACCGGUUCUGACGCUGAUGCGCGAAAGCGUGGGGAGCAAACGGG